rnacentral:lncRNA from 1 species
UCCGAAGGGAUCCAGUGCCCAACUACCGACUCCUUCCGGAAUUGCGUUAUCGGAGCCGAGCCAGGAAUGGCCGUUAGUGGACACCUACCACUUUUCACCGGUUAGAGAGGCCCUCUUUAAUACAUUAAGAAAAGAUGUUCACAGGGGCCAGAAGGACUCGGUCAUAGGAACUUAGACCGCCUACGCGCUGGUAAACGAAAACCACCUCGACCGGAUCAGAGUAAACAACAAUGUCGAAUCAGGCCGCCCCUUGCCUUGAAAGAAUUCACAGGCGGCCACCAGCUUUCAUUAAUUCAAUCAAUAAGGGGAUAUCUGCUGCUUACUGCUCACGGAAACAUCCGACCUAUACUAUAGUCAAGUCGUCCGCCUAUCAAUAAGAUGGGUGUGUAUUAGCAUUAUCCAUUUAUAAAUGUUUUAUUUUGAGUUGUACAAAUAUCUAUAUAUGUAAUUUUAAAUUAUGGUUGGUGAUACAAGUUUAUAAAGAGGAUUUUGAUUUUGGAAAAUAUUGAAAUUAUAAAGGAUACUCUAUCAAAUAACUUCAAGGGUUUAAAGUGACAUUGAAUUUGAAGAUUCUGCCUUCUAACCCCACUACUUUUUUUUUUAGAGAGAGAUAAAUGUAAAUUUAUUUAUAAGUAUUAUUUGUCCAUUAAAAUCUUAUUUGAUUUGGACUGUGGUACCAUCCAAUUAUCAUUAAUUUUUAUUAAAUCAGAAAAACAUCAACCAGUGGUCGCAAUAUUACCAUCAAUUAUAUAUAAUCUCAAUUUUAAUUAUGAAUCGAAAAUAUACAAAAUAUUUCUGAAGGAUAAUAGAAAGAGAAAAAAAACAAUUGUGAGGACAAAACUUAUCAUUUUAAAGGCUAAAAUAAUGGAAUGAUAUCAAAGUUGCAACAAAUGUUAUAUUUAAGAGAUCUAAAAGUCUUUUUUUUUUUACUCGUUUACGUCUAAAAGUCCAAUUUAGAAAAGGGAGAACUAGUUUUGUAGACGUGAUAAAAUAAGGAUCAAAAGUAAAAUUUCACAUUUUAUAUAUGAGUGACAAAUAUUUGUCUAAUUAUUUUAUUUUAUUUUACAAGAAUGUCUAUUGUUAAACUUCUAUUUAUAAAAAAAAUGUCUAAAUUUUUCUUUUCUUUUUGAGGGAAUGUCUAAUUAUUUUAUAAAUGACACAUAUCUUGUAGUAUAUUGGAAAUUCCUAAAACACACCUUAAAAUCCUGAAAAAAUGUUCAAACUCCUCCCCUGUUAUCAACUUGAAAUCUUUAUUCAAAAAAUAAAAAACCCCUCUUAUUACAUUCACUCUCUUAUUACUCUCGGAUUCAACUAUUCCUUUUAUUGAAACUUUAAAAAAAAAAAAAAAGAUUCAACAUUAGAUUACAUUCAUAUUAGACUGCCCCUAUUUUCAAUGUUCUAGGGGACUCUUUGAUAUUUGCUUUCACAUAAUUACCUAUUUCAUAUAAACCAUUGCAUUAACUUCCUUUUCCACGGUAAUGUUUUUUACUUGACAAAUUUCAUAUAAACCAUGUAUUUUGUAUUGUCCUUUUCCACUUAUGACGGAGCCAGAAUGCAUGCAGAGAAAAAUGGUCCAGGUUUGUCUGUACACUACAACGUGAAAUGCAUGUGUUUUAUGGAUUUUUUUGGCUUUUUUACAUUGUAAAAUUAUCCUCAACUUUCAAUGCAAAUAGUAUAUAUAAUAAAAUGUAACAAAUUUUACAUGUCCUAUUGUUUCUUUAUCUUUUAGAAAAGAUAAUGGAAGAAAGUGAAUUUAAAUAUUAAAAAAUAAUGUAACAAACAUAAUUUUUUUUUUUGUUAUCAUACAAAAUAUAUCACGUAACAAACACGAUACGAGUAUAAUGACAUGUUUUAUUUCCUUUUUCCUUAAAAAAAAUAUAACAAACUAGAUCAAAUAUAUGGCAUUAUAAAUAUAAUCAAUAAGAAAAUGAUGGUUAUUUUAUUUUUAUUCUAUAUACAGACAAACCAAAAUAUAUCAAGUUGAUAGAUAAUUUCGUUAUAUGCUCCGACAAUAAUUUGUAUAUAAAUCGAUUUACAAAUAAUUUCCAUUAAUAUUUCAAAAUUGUAAUCAAAAUUAUACAAACAAACAUAAUAAAAUUUACACACACGUUAGUGCGGUAAAAAGAGUGGACAGACGGACACAGUAAUGACAGUCUUUCUGCUAGUGUUCAUAACAUUACUUAUCUCACGGUAUAACUGGUCUAGUUAUUUUGAUUUGGAUAUAUGUUUUGAUAUAUAACAUAUUCAUGAUCACUUUCAUCAGUUUGUUUAUUUAACAGAUGCUUUUAAAGCGCGAUGCUCUUUUUAUUUGACUCUUUUGUACUUGAGUUUUAUGGAACGAAAGAAAUAAUUAUAGAUUAUUCAAGAACAAGGAAAGUUUCUUAUACUAGUUGUUGGAUAAAAUUAAGUUACAUUCCUUUUGGUGGAUGAAUGCAACAUAUGCUAAUUUUGAUUUAGGCUAUCGCAUCUAGUGGUCGAGCCCAUUUGAUUGAUUGAGCAUCGGCUAAUUUUUGUCUAAGUGUGUUUUGUUUUUUGGUUGACUUUUGUUGUAAACUUUUGUGGACUUCUUUGACACAUCUAGUGUUAAAGAGGUUCCUCUUUUGGUGUUAAUAUAAUCCAUUUUUGCUUGUUAAAAAUAAAUAAUAUUUUCUUUUGAGGGAAAUAAAUAAUAUUAUAAUGACCGUUAAUUAUAAUAUGAUUUUGAAUUCACAAUGGUUUUCUAUUUCAUAUUGUUUACACCACACUUUUAAAAGGAGGUAUAUUGUUUGUUUACAUACAACGUGAAAUGUAUGUGUGCACAAUGCAUCAUUACAACUGCCUUCACUGAAUUUGGAUCGUCAAGUGUGCAUUAAUAAUUGAUAAUUUUUUGUUCUUUUCCACUUAUGUCGUAUUGUCCUUUUCCACUUAUGAAGGAGCCAGAAUGCAUGCAUGCAUGCAGAGCAAAAUGGUCCAGGUUUGUCUGUACAACGUGAAAUGCAUGUGUUUUAUAGCUAUGUCGGCUCUUUUUUUUACCUUCCAAAAUUAUCCUCAACUUUCAAUGCAAAUAGCACAUAUAAUAAAAUGUAAUAGAUUGUAUAUGUCCGAUUUUUUCCUUAUCAUUUAGAAAAGAUAAUGGAAGAAAGUAAAUUCAAAUAUUGAAAAAAAUGUAACAAACACAAUAUUCUUUUAUGUUAUCACAAAAUAUAUCACGUAACAAACACGAUAUGAGUAUAUAUAUGUCCAAUUUUGAGUUCCCCUAAUUGGUACACUGCACCUAUUCUUGUGAAUGAUUCACUAGUUCUACGAUGAUUAACAAAAUAGUCUUAGUCAAUCCCUUAAGUUAGGACCCUCUUCUAGGGUUACAACCCCUAAUUCCUUAGGUGGUCUAAUAUCUGUUGAAGGUUACGUUAACCUAAUAUCACUAAUAAAGGAUUAUCCAUUCCUAGACUAACCAUGUGUAUUAGAACAAUUCAAUUAAGUCUAAGUCGAAAGCUAUGGUCAGUAGUCAUUCGUUCUCACUAAAUCAUGUUUAUAUUUGAUCAGNACUUGCAACUUCUUUACCACCUCUUUCGGAAGCUAUAGCCUUGACCUUGGUUGGAUUUAGUGUGGUUGUGUUUAGGGAAUGUGCUAGUGGAAAGGGUUGGUUUAGUGAUGGGGUGAGUGUUAUGAGUUGGGUGGUGGAAAUUGGUGAUGAAUUUGUGGGUAGAUUGAGUUCCCAAGAGCCCCAUGCCUUUACUGGUAAACAACCAACCAACCACAUAUCAACCACAUAUGUGGACAAAAGUCUUUCCUCUUGUUGGGGGGAGCAGAGCGACGAAGUAACAAAAAGAAUGAAUCUCUGGCGGCAUAAAAUACAGGAAAUGCUCCGGCUGUUUUUCCUAGCUUUCCACAGGGCUAGAAUAGCCCUUUGUUGGAUUGGUUUGGAAUCCCAGUCUCUUACGUUCGUGAUUCUAUCUGUUCACCUUUUUUUGUGUUUAUAUUCCGGGGACAUCGCAACAUGCGAUGGGGUGGGAGGUGUGGAGGGACCUCCUUCACCGCCUGUUGUGGGCAUUCGGGUAGCCCCGGAGGUUUUGGGGGUGCCCCCCGCUGCCCCGGAGGUUUUGGAGGUGCCCCCCGCUUCCCCGGAGGUUCCGGUAUUAUUGGAUGCAUUAAUACCGGACCCCCAAAGAGAGGCCGAGCUUUACUCGCGUUUCUGGAUCAAUACGUUUGGGGAAAAUCCAACCCUACGUAGAAUUAGCGAUACUAUCUCGGUUCAAAGCGAGAUAGAUAGGCUAAUUGAAGCCGCUUUGAUUCAUAGCGGCUUCAAUCCGACUCGGGUAUUGCGUAACCGCCAUCGGAUAAGAGGUAUAGUUUUUUAAUAGUUUUUUAUCCGAGAGGUAGGGCACUCUCCUUGCGGCAGUACCGCUACCAUCUACGCAGUAUCUACCGGUUGGGUACCCGAGACACACGGGCCUUCCAACGUCUUAUGACGGCGGUUAGAAACUAUGAUCUAUGGCUAUAGGAAUAGAUCAGAGUAGAGGUGGGUAGCGGCACUGGGUGGGACCGAGAGCAAGAAAGGACGGGGGGCAACCUGCCUUUUUCAUUUAAGUGACGUUUUUGACUCAGUGAUCCAUGCGGGGAAAAUGAAAACUUAAUUCGUUCGGAUCCUCCCACAUGUUCAAUCUUUUUUUAGCGGUUUCCCCAGAGAUCUUUAUCAUUAAUGCAACCUUCAUUUUGCUCAUUCAUGGAGUUGUAUUUAGUACCUCUAAGAAAUAUGAUUAUCCACCGUUAGUCAGUAAUGUGGGUUGGCUUGGAUUACUUAGUGUUUCGCGCCUAGGAGGGCAGCGCGCUUUGGGAUGCGGAGGAGCGGAGCUGCUCGAACGAAUGAAUGUGAGANCUAACCAUGUGUAUUAGAACAAUUCAAUUAAGUCUAAGUCGAAAGCUAUGGUCAGUAGUCAUUCGUUCUCACUAAAUCAUGUUUAUAUUUGAUCAGGAUAUAAAAAGCAUUAAGAACAAUUGAAUUGAAUAAAAACUAGAUUGUCAUUCACGAUAAAUAGAGUUUCACAGCAACAUGUUUCAAUUAGGGUUACAAAGAAUCAUCUCAGACCUAACCUCUAAUGGAUUUAGCUACUCAUAAUGGUGUUUACAAAUAACAUAAUCAUUAGAGGAAUCAAUACAUACAUGAACUGGUAAAAGAGUGAAGAAAUCGCCCUUCUAGCCGUCUUGUAGUCUCAAAAUCGCACCUUGCUCUCUCCAAAUCGUAACCCUUGUUUUCAGAAUAGACUUCAGCUUAAAUAGGCACAUAAAUUCGCCUAAAAUCGUGUCACAUUUUAAGUAAAUCGUGAUACGUUUUCCUUUGAAUCGCAAACAACUGAAUUAGGGUUUCCUCAAAUCGAUUUUGCCAUCGUGACACGUUUUCCUCAAUGUCGAAGCAUGUUUUGGUCUUCUAAAAUCGUGUUACGUUUUUACCAAAUCCAUUAGAGGUUAGGUCUGAGAUGAUUCUUUGUAACCCUAAUUGAACCAUGUUGCUGUGAAACUCUAUUUAUUAUGAAUGACAAUCUAGUUUUUAUUCAAUUCAAUUGUUCUUAAUUCUUUUUAUAUCCUGGUCAAAUAUAAACAUGAUUUAGUGAGAACGAAUUACUACUGACCCUAGCUUUCGACUUAGACCUAAUUGAAUUGUUCUAAUAAACAUGGUUAGUCUAGGAAUGGAUAAUCCUUUAUUAGUGAUAUUAGGAUAACGUGCUUAUACGUUCAAAGAUUGUUAGAGCCCCUAAGUAAUUAAGGGUUGUAAUCCUCGAAGAAAGUCCUAACUCAAGGGAUUGAUUUUGGCUAUUUUGUUAACUAUCAUGGAACUAGAGAAUCAUUAAUAAGAAUAGGUGCAAUAUAUCAAUUAGGGGAGCAUCGAUGAUUCGAAAGACCUAAACUCAUCUCCCUCUUAUUCUUAAAACCAACUUUUACUUUCUGUCGUUACUUUUAUUGCAAACAAACCAAUCAACUGUCUAGUGGCAAAACAAAAGAACUUUUAUACAUCAUAUUUUACAACGUAAUUGAAUUAUUGAAAUUAAAACCAACCCUGGUGGGACCGAUAUUUUUACUACUUCGGUAGUAUUUGAUACACUUGCCAAACGUCUAUCAGCGGUUAUUCUGUUUAAUGUACCUUUCCCAUAUAUUUACCAACUUCCAAAUUUUGCAAAGAUCCGUGGAGCCACGCCAUUGACAGGUCACGACUCAAUUAAUAAAAUUUGAGCCUAUGCCCAUUUAUUUGGAAUUUUCAUUUAUUCUAUUUGCAAAAUUUCUUCCAUUUUUGAUGUAAAUACUUAAAGCAAAAAAAUAAAUAAAACUUUUUUACGUCUUUUGAAAGAUGUAAACAACAAAUAAACUCUCUUUGAACUCGUGAGUAGGUGAAGCAUACGUCAACUUCCGCCUCGAGAACGGUUAAACUCUGAAAGAGAAACAUGGCUAAGCACUGUGGAGAGGACCUCUGCUUUGAGCAAGAUGUUGUCACAAUCCAAAAAUAAAUAAAUAAACUACAAAAAAAAAAAAAAGAACUCGCUAAGCUGGAAACCUGAAAAUGAGGCUUAGACAAUAGAGAGUGUCCCGAUGGAAUGAACACUCGAAAGGGCGGUCGAGGCAAAAAUUAGGGGCACAAAAAAGGAAUAUAUUCCCGGUGGACUGAAAACCCGAAAGGGCGGACCAAGCAAAAGAUAGGGAUUUUCAAAAAAAGGAAAAACAAAAUAAAGAGGCAUGAUUACUAGGCCGUACAAGUGGAAGAACACUCCGUGCCGGUUUACAAAUGGCGACUUCUUCUAGAUUCUUUGGUUAACAAUGGGCUUUCUCCGCAAGAAGUGUCUACUUCCUUACUGGUUGCUACCUUAUGCCGGGCUUCACCCUGUCAAUGGCUCGAUUUGUCUCCAAUGAUAUCAUCUCCGAUGAAGAUUCUCGAGUGUUUGUACUGCAAUGUCAGUCCACCUCCCAUCUUACUUGUCCAUGUCUAUUUCGUUAAGUUUACCUGUCAUAUACAGUCAUACAGAUAUACAGUCAUACAAUCAUAUAGUUAUAUAGUCUUACAUUCAUACAUUCAUACGUUCAUGCAUACACAACAUAUACGCAUCAUCAUUCAUACAUGAUUGCGUUAGUCACCUAGAGUCUUGUUUAGGCGAAUAGCCUACAGAUACCUUUGUGUCAGGCAAAUAGCUUGCAAAUACCCUGUGCCACGCGAAUAGCUUCCAAAUACCCAGUGCCAAGCGAAUAGCUUCCAAAUACCCAGUGCCAUGCGAAUAGCUUGCAAACACCCUGUGCUAAGCGAAUAGCUUGCAAAUACCAUGUGCCAAGGGAAUGGCUUGCAAAUACCUUAAGCCAAGCACACAUGCUUGCAAAUUCUCUCUACCAAGCGAAUAGCUUGCAAAAACCAUGUGCGAAGCGAAUAGCUUGCAAAAAACCUGAGCCAAGCGAAUAGGUUGCAAAUACCCUAUGCCUAGCGAAUAGCUUGCAAAUACAUUGUGCCAAGCGAAUAGCUUGCAAAAAUCCUGUGCCAAGCGAUAGUUUGCAAAAACCCUUUGCCAAGUGAAUAACUUGCGAAUACCUUAAGCCAAGCGCACAUGCUUGCAAAUACCUUAAGUCAAGCGCACAUGCUUGCAAAUACCUUGAGCCAAGCGAACAUGCUUGCAAAUUUUUUCUCAAAAAAGUGUCUUCCCUAGUAUGUUUAGUCAAAAGAUGUCACUAAGAAGCUUUUGUCUUUAUUAAGCCAUCGUUUUGAACCAGUACGAUAGUAGACAACCAUUUUCCCUAGUGAAACUACAUUACCCAACCCUUUCUUCAACGAACUUGGGUAUCAUGUUGUUGUUUCUCUCCGUCAGUCAGAUCAUCUUUGUCGUCUUGCAUUCAUACUUGCAUCGCGAGCAUUUCAUAGAAUCUUAGGUCCAAAAUUGGUGUACUCUGUAUUUAAGUCUCUUCGGCCAAUCAAAUCGAAGAUUUCAUCUUCAAAUCUCCGGACGAAGAAACUUAAAUAGGGGCAUCUGUCAUACCCCAAUUUUUAACCUAAGAUCCUACUGUCACAUGUCUUUUGGCCCGUAGUAUUCUUUGCUUUUUCAAAGAAAAAUUCGGUAGAGAGGUAUUUUAAAAUACCUCAUUUUCGGUUCAGUUUUCGGGCCCGCUUUUUAUUUAUUUUAUUUUUAGUCCUUUUAUUUUGUUUUACUUUUUUACUUUUAGUUUUUAUUUAUUUACUUAUUUUAUUUUCACCUUUCAUUUUAUUUUUUAUUUUUACUUAGGUUUUUCUUAUUUUUAUUUACUUAGAGUAAGUCUGAAAAUAUGUCUAGAGUCCAAAAAAUAAUUCUUUCAUCCACGCCACAAUUAGUGGCCAAAUUACAGUGUGAGUUCUUUCUUUCCAAUAACACCAAAAAUGCGUUCUAUCACUUUCAAUCCUCAUUAAAAUUCAUUAAACCAAUUUUUCAUUUUCAUCAACCUUUGAACCAAUACUUUAAUCACAAACCCUAAACCGAAUCUAAAAAGAGGUAGUAUGUGUUAAUUUUGUUAUUUUUAGAUAUAGAGUCUUGGGUUUAGUCUUUGGUUUGAGAAAAGUGAAGAGGCAGGGAAAAGAAGCAAGAAAUUGAAGAAAAAAAUAUAAGGUUUUCGGCAGCGACCCCACCACCUUGGGGCGCCCGACCACCGUGCCGGUACCAAAACUCUGCCGAAGUUUUGAAGAAGAAGGAGGAGCAUUUGAGAGAGCAGAGAGAGUUGAAAGAGUGAAGAGAGAGAAAUAGAAGGUAGAAAUGAGAGAAAGGAGAGCCUUUGGCCUAUUUAUAGGCUUCUGGAUUCCUACGCUCAUCGCAUGGGUGCAUUUCCUUAGCAUGCACCCUCGCACCCUGGGCCCUUUGAUCUCAAUCUGAUGGCAUGUGGAAGUGUUUCUUUAGAUCAGACCCGGGCCAUUGAUCAAAUGAAUGGACCAGAUCCGACUGUUGGCCCAUGCGCCCCACUUUCUCUAAAGCCCAGUCUGUCUUUUUAUUUUACUUCCUGCACCCCCUUUUUACUACCUUCACCCCCUGCAUGCAUUUUUAUUUUAUUUAUUUUUCUAAUGUAUUUUUAUUUUUAUUGCGUUUUAUUUUUAUUGCAUUUUUAUUUUUUAUCGCAUGGUAAUUUAUUUUAUUUAGCAUUUUUAAUUAUUGUCUUUUAUUCAUUUGCAUAGAGUUAGAAUGUAUUUAGGUUCAAUGUAAAUAUAAAUGAGAAAAAUCAUGCUUUAUUUAUUUUUCCGCUUUUAUAUAUUCAAAAAAAUGCAAAAACAUAUUAGGUUAGAAAAGGAUUUUCGUGGUGAUCCAACGUCACUACGGAAAUUCCUCGCGUUUUAUUUUAUCGUCACGCUUUGUCUUUAGGUUUUAAUUAAUUAUUAAAAAAGAACAGAAACAUGUCAAUAACCAAAAAUUCACAAAAAAAAAAAAUUAUUUUUCAUAAUAAACCUGUAUUUUCAAUCAAGUGAUGUCCCUUUUUACCUUUAAUCAUAUUUCGAGUCAUUUCUUUUUCAACAUAAAAAAAAACACAAACAAACUAUAUUUUUGCCACUUUGGCUUUUACAUUUUAAAACUCAUAAAAAACACAAAACAAAUCAAUUGGUCAUUUUACUCCGAAUUACGAGGUUUUGAUCCCUCACGGGUACGUAGGCAAAGGACCUUAUUCUUCCAAAUCAAAUAAAUGUAAAAAAAAAAAAAAUUAUUUUAUUUUAAUCACCACUUUAAUUCUUUCUUUAAAAAAGCAAGUAAGUUAUUUUGAACUUUUUCCACUUUCCCUUAAAAUAUAAAAGUUCAGUGGUGAAUAAAAAUUAGUGAGUCAACGCUAAACUAAUAGCUUGAUCUCCGAAAAUCACCGCGACAACUUUUUACUCCGAACUACGUGGUUUUGAUCCUUCGCGGGUACGUAGGUAAAAGACUUUUGUCUUUCCAAAUCAAAAAAUAAUAAAAAAAUUAUAUUUUAUUUUUACUCAUCACAUUAAUCUUUUUUAAGCAAGCAAAAAUAAUUAUAGCCAAAAAUAAAUAAAAGCAAGAGGUUCCUAUAGAAUACUAUAGACGUUUAGGGUGCUAAUACCUUCCCGUUACGUAACUAACCUCUGAACCUUAAAUCUCUAAAAAUUGUAAUGAAAAAAAUUGCUAUCUGAAAAGGAAUUUUUAUUUUUUUUGUAAAAGUUAUUUAGACUCGCCAAAAGGAGGGGGAUUAAGGUUAUGUUAGACUAUCUAACAUUUAUAUGGCUGUAUUGGAUUAGGAUUUUAAAAGAUCAUUUUUGAUGAAAAAGUCUAGUGUAUUUUAAAAGAUUAUGCAAGAUUUUAACAAUUUUUAAGAUUUUAAUUCUCAAGAUUUGUAAUUUGGUUUUUAAUAUAUACACUAUUGAUUGAUUUAAAUUCGCUGUAUUUACUUUUUUAAUGAAAGUUUGAUUUUUCAAAAAAAAAAAUGAUAAGAAAGCAAAUUUGGACAAGUUACUACUAUUGAUUUCAUAUGGCCUUAGGUAAGACAUUUUAUCAGUACCUACGGUCUAAAUCUGUAGGUAAAACCAAAAUGUUUUGUCCGAUGGCCAUAGUUCCAUCACUAUAUGAUAAAUCGACGAAAAAAUCCGUAGGUAUAUCAUCACUAUUGCCCACGAAAGAUUCAUCCGUAGGUAUAAGUACUUGGUCUGUCACUAAAUGUUAAGUUUCAUGUAAUGUUAGUUAAGUGGCACUGGCAUUAAAACGAAUCUUAAGGGAACAGGUUAGUACUCCCAUUUAAAUAUGACAGACUUAUUUUUCCGAUAAUAGAAAAUGACAAGGACUUAUGUCCGAUAUCAGAAAAUGAUAGAGACUUGUUUAGUUGUAAUGAUUAUUUUUUUAGUUAGGAUUAUGGUUAGUUAUGAGUAUAAUAUGGUAAAUAUAACUGUAUGUUUGAUUCUAAUAUUAUGUUAAUCUUUAUGCAGCAGAAAUGGUGACAACUGAGAAGUGAGAACCACCUUUUGCAAGACCUCCUCCUAUUAGGUCACCUUUCUAUUAGAGGUAAAGGGUGCUUACUUAUAGGAACGGGCGGAGUAUAAUCUAACAAUUUCAAAAUCAUCGUGUAAAAUGCGGAUCAUAUAAAUUACUACUAUUUGAUUUUCAAAAAGAAAAGAAAAUCAUAAACUAUUACUGCAUGUUACUAACUGUCUCUGUAUUAGUGACUCGAAAAUAGGGAUCUAACGUGAGAGAAAAUUUCGAUAGGUGCAAAUCCCACUAAUCACUCUUCGAAGUUAGAACAACCAAUUAAAGAACUACACGUUAUUAGGAUUAAAAAGAAGCUGGUUAUAAAUAAGAAUAUAUUUUUUAAUACUCCACUUGUAAAAAAAUAAUAAAUGCCCUCCUGUCAUGUAAAUGCCCUAGUUUCUAAAUCAUGGGGAUUAAAAAGAAGCUGGUUAGUCAAGAAGUUCUAACUCAACUGAUAAAAAUACAAAAAUUGUUAGGCUGGAUGCCAUGACUAGGGUUCGAACCCCGGUGUCUCCACUUUUGUGUGUGAGUUUAUAAUAACUUUGCAAUUUCGUCUAUCUAUCAACAAAAAAAAAGAAGCUGGUUAAAAAGGGGUUGCCAUGUACACUAUUUAGAAUGGUGAACAUGGAGGGAAUAGUUGACAUAGGCCAUCUAUUUUAUGAUUUCUCUAUUUAAAAAUUGAGUCUUGUAAUUCGGUUUCUUUUCAAACCAGACAAUUUCAUAGUUGUUUUGAGUCUUUUAUUGAUAAAUCAUGUAAUUCGGCAAACAAGAAACCUCAUAGAAGUUUUUUUAUGACGAAGGAACGAAGAUUAUCAAGGGUCUACAAGGCUUUGAAGAAAUUACAAGUUGGGAAAAUUGUGUCUCAAGAACAAGUCAGAGAAGGAAAACACUCUAAGAGCGGUGAAAAAACGCUUUUUCCGCACCUGAGGCUAACAUCACACGCCCCACUCAUGACACACACAGCCCAGGCUCAUUGGAUAGAGAAAACAACUCUCUUUUAUACUGACCAUGCGGUCCAAGUAUGCUGUUCCGUGAAAAAUCAGCUUUUUCCUAAUUUUUUCUUGCGGGAUGGAGGAAAACGUCCAUAAUUUUAGCUCAAACCCAAUUGAAAAUAUGCUUAUAAAUAGAGCUCCUUUAACACAUAAAUAUUAAUUUAGAACUUGGCAGUUGAUGAAUGAAUUGGCAAGCCCAUCAAAUCGUAACAAGUAAUAAAGUGAAGUUAUCGUCUCCAUAUGAAUUGUCGUUCAACUUAUUAAUUAACAGUAAAAGAGAUAAAAUGGUUGCAGAUUUUUUAAUUGUCAUGCACAAUUUAAGAUCAUGUUGCUUUGAUUCAGAAGUUAACGACGAUUAGGGUAUCUUUAAAUAGUUAUGACCUGCCUUUGAUUCAAGAAAGUAGGAUAUGACCCCGUGAUAUAGUCGUGGGAAGUUUCAAUUUCAUAUAGUUGCAAUUUAUCCAGUUAUAAUUGAGGCGUCCCCUAAAGAUGAGGCAAAACCAUAAAAACCAUACUUAGAUUUAAUUAAAAGAGAUUAAUUUAGAAAAUAAGCAAUAUACUACUGUCUUGCUCAGACGGAUGUAGGAUUGUCUGUCUUAUACCUUCACCUAAAGAUUAGGUCAACUACUAGUUGAAAAACAUUUAUUACAGACAUAUACAAAUUAAAUCAAACACUUGAUUCAUAAACUGAAAAACACUUUAUUAGUUGAAUCUGACAAAUGAGAAGAGGUUCAUAUUGGAACCCUAAUCAAGAGAGGUUUAGUUGCACAUGGCAACCAACAUCAUUACAAAACAAUAGAAAAACAUACCCUAGAAAGGACAAGAGGAUGACAGAAAUCCUCUGCCUUGAAUCUCUGAUGCUUGACCCUUGCCUUGUACUACUAGCUUUCUAAAUGAAUAAAAGUAUGUGCAAUGGUCUCUAUUUAUAGUCAUAAUUACUUAGAGUUUAAGAUAUGAAAACUGGAUCUUUUCCACCAACCCAACUUGGAAAACAAGCAAAAUGAUAUUUUUGUCUGCAACCAUGCACACGGCGCAUGGAGUGACAUGCAGGGGUGCAUGAGGCAGCCUUGAAGGUUGUCUCAUCAUGAUGAACCAGGUAAUGAGAAGGUAACCACAAUUCGCAUACGGAUUAUAAGACUCUCAUGUGCAGGGGCGUAUGAGGCAGUAGCUCCAGUGCGAAUUUUGCAAUUUUCGUCCAUGUUUCGAGCGUUUUCUUCCGUCUUAAAAUGUCUUAGAACUUGGGAUGAAUUUUCUCCGGUUUGUAUAGUUUUCAAAAACCUUCUAAGAAUCAAUGAUCUUCAUUCUUCAUAUCCUUGCUCAAGUGAUUGGUGCAUAUGAUGUGUAAGGUGAGUAUUAUAAUUGUAACCCCCUCAAAUUUGAGCCCCAAUCCUAAAACUAAAUAUAUGAAAAAGAUCAAAAUAAGAACGAAGCAGUGACCCAUACAAUGUGGUCUUGGGACAAUUAAUUUUAUUUUUUUUUCCGAAACAAAACGUGUCCCAAAAAGUCUAUUUUGGUGUGCUGGAUGCUAGGUUACUCAAUAUUUACCAGUACUUUUUAUUUACAUUUAGAAUAAAAUUUAGUUUUUUAUAGAAUAAAAUAAAUGUACAUAACCUUAUUAGAGACCUUAUAAAAGGGUUGCUCAAUCAAUCUAAAGUAAUCAAACUAGCUAAACACAAAAAGCAUAAAAUGGAUACAAAAAGGCAAGCAUUGCUCCUUCUGUUAGUCUUAACAAUAUUUCCCUUCACUAUCAAAGCAUCUUCAAGUGGUGGCAUUGCCAUCUACUGGGGCCAAAACCUAGGAGAUGGCACCUUGACAUCAACAUGUGACACUGGUAAUUACGAGAUUGUACUCUUAGCUUUCCUCAAUGUCUUUGGAGGAGGAAGAGUCCCAAGUUGGAACUUUGCAGGUCAUUGUGGUGACUGGAGCCCUUGCACAAAACUCGAACCCGAAAUAAAACACUGUCAACAAAAAGGGAUCAAAGUUUUACUUUCCCUUGGAGGUGCAUCUGGAUCCUACUCCCUUAGCUCACCAGACGAUGCUAAAAAUGUUGCUGAUUACCUCUAUACUAACUUUCUUAGUGGUCAAUUUGGUCCACUUGGAAGUGUUACCUUAGAUGGUAUUGAUUUUGACAUUGAAGGAGGUAGCAAUCUUUACUGGGAUGACCUUGCUAGGAAUCUUGACAAUCUAAGACAACAAAACAGGUAAUGUUUUUUGAAGGAGAAGUUUUAGCAUACUAGUAAUUUGUCUGUCUCAUAUUAAGUAUUUUUAAGAUUAUGUACAUUUCUUAAGAGAAUCGUUGAGUGUGUACAAAAUAAGAUAAAAUGAGUUAAAUUCUACUAAUUUUGUUUUAUUAAUAGUGGUGAAUAGAAUAGUUAGUGAUUUGAAAUAAAGGGUGCCAAUUUAAGUCGAUGAUGUCUUCUAUUCUCUUUGAUUCCUUUAUGCUCUUAAUUUAGUAAAAAAAAGUGAUUUGAGAUACAAUAAAUACAUUUUUUAAGGAAUGAUAGAAUAAAUACAUAUAUACUCUUUUUUCUAAAAAAAAAAGAAAAGGAAUAAAUAUAUAAUCCUAUUUGUGAAAAAAAGAAUGUAGGUAAUGUUUAACUAGUAUUUUAAAAUUAUUGCAUAGGUGAAUAUUAAUAUGAAAAAAAAAAAAAAAAAAAACUUCUUACAUGUUAUAUUGUGGAUGGAAAUAGAACAUUUAAUAUCAUCUUCAACACUUAUUUAACAGAAACAUAUAAGGUGCAACCGAGCAAAACAAGUAGCAAGAUUGGACAAAAACAUAAAUUCAUGCCCUCGUUAAACUAUGAAACAACUUUUUGUCCACAAUGUAGACUUUUAAAAAUACCAAAAUACCCUUUUUAUUUUUCAACAAGAAAAAAAAAACAUUUCUAUAUCUCUCCAAUGUAGUUAUGUAAUGUUCUCUAGUGUUCUGACAUGUCAUAUAUUGUUCAGUUCAGCACUUGCUAUUUUGCGAAUCAAACACACCUUAAUCUCAUCUUUAGUAUACUUCUUUUCAAAAUUUAUGAUGAUUUGACUUUAUAUGAUACGAGAAAUGUUAAUAAGUGUCUUUGUUAAAAAGUUCAACGUGGAAUAUUAUCUUGGUAAUUAUGUAUUAUGCACAUUGACGAAAUAAAAAUCAUCAUUUUACAUAUAUAUUUAGGGUUAAUAGUGUUUUACCAUCCUGUAAUAUAGGUUAUUUUCGGUUUUCCCCCUGUAAAAUCAAAAUUUAUGAAGAUUUUUUGAUUUUAGACCUCAAUGAAAAAUUUUGCCCCCUAUAAUUUGAGGAAAUUUCGGUUUACCCCCUGCAAUUUGAGCUUGGGAAAAUUUCGGUUUACCCCCUUUUAAUUUGAGAAAAUUUCGGUUUACCCUCCCUGCCAUAUCAUCGAUUUUGUACAGUCAAAGUUCAUGAAGAUCCAAAACCAAAAAACUUCAAAUUACAAGGGAAACCGGAAACCAGAAAUGUCCUAUAUUACAGGGGGUAAAGCACUACUACCCCUAUAUAUUUAUUAUCAAUUAUUUUCUUUUUUGAAUCCAUAAAAAGUACAAUAAAGACAUUUGUUAGCUUGAUCCGUAUAAUAUAUAUCAUUAAAAAAUUAGCUCUCCGUUCAAUAUAUUUUUGAAUCCGUCUUUGCUUACACCCUAACUGUAACAAAUCAACCUUUUAUCUCUUGCAGGUACUUUUACUUGGCUUCUGCACCCCAAUGUUUUAUGCCAGAUUACUACCUUGACAAAGCUAUCAAAACUGGCUUAUUUGAUUAUGUCCUUGUUCAAUUCUACAAUAACCCUCCAUGUCAAUAUGAUCUAAUAAACUCAGAUGCUACAUUGCUCUUACAAUCAUGGAAUGCUUGGACAUCUUUAGCUCUACCAAAUAAUACCGUUUUCAUGGGACUACCAGCAGCACCUAAUGCAGCUCCUAGUGGUGGUUAUAUACCACCAAAUGAUCUCAUUUCCAAGGUUCUUCCUUUCAUUAAACCAACUUCCAACUAUGGAGGAAUUAUGCUUUGGGAUAGAUUUCAUGAUGUUGGAAAUGAUUACAGCAAUCAGAUAAAGGAGUACGUUAAACGAUCUAUUCUUCGAUUUGUGACACAAGUUUCCGAGGCAAUAGUUGGAUCUAUCUCGGCAGCUUUGAACUCCAUGUUUCCGAAUUAAAUCAUAUUAUAAAUUGAUAGUGAUUGCGAAGUGGACUAUAUAUAUGUAUGAGUAUGGAAUAAGAGAAGACUCGGAUCCUCUACGACCAACUUUAGGGUGGUUAUAGACCGUUAGAUUAAGAAAGAAAAAUGAUCACUUUUUAUUUUUAUUUUAAGUACCUUUAUGCAUAUUAUGCACCUAGUUACACUAUGAUUCCCUCGGUUUUUAUGUAACCCGCGGGAAUCAAAGCAUCUUAUCUUAUGUAUGUACUGGAAGUCACUUUAAAAUUUGAAUAAUAUUGACUUGCACAUUUUCAACUUAAAUUCUAACCAGUCUACGUAAUUCACAAAAGUGUAUAAGCUAUAGAUAAACACAAUUAUAUUUCCGUAAGUUUUUGCUUAAAACAUUUCUUUAACAAAAUAUGUAUCAUAAUCUGAACUCGAGCAAAGUUUUUUAAUCUGAUGAAGCAUCACUACGGGGUUAUACUCGAUGGUUUUAGGGAAACAAAGGAAGCAAGGCACAAUUGGUUGACGCUAGUAAAAGGGAGUUGUAUGGACGUAUGUAAGCGUAUGCACAUGAUUUAAUGAAAAGCAACCAGGUUCUUUUGUGAAAAUGAAUACCAUACAAAUUCCAUUGUCACCACCAAAAUUCAAAAGAUUAUGUGUUUGUCUUGAUGCAUGUAGAAAAGGUUUUAUGGCAGGAUUUAGGUCAUUGAUUGAUUUAGAUGGAUGCUUUCUGAAAUGAUAUUUUAGAGGGAAACUAUUGUCUGUUGUGGGACAAGAUGAAAAUAAUUGCAAUUUUAUCAUUGGUUAUGCCAUUGUGGAUGUAGAAAAUAGGAAUAAUCGGAAGUGAUUGUUAACACUAUAUUGCAUGAGGAGCUUGGCAACAACGUGACGAACGGAUUGAAUUUUAUUUUAGACAUGCAAAGGGUAAUAAAAUACUACAUGGAUUAUAUUCUAUUUUUGACACAAUUCUAUUUUGUUAUUAUAUUCUGCAUGGAUGUUAUAAAUGCUAGUUUUAGGAUCAACUUGAUUUUGAAUGUUGUAACUUUAUGACCAGUUUAAUAGUAAGUAUAAUAAUAGGGACCAUUUUAACAGUAAGUAGUAUUUUACAAGGAUCGAUUUGAUAGUAACUAUUUUGAAAUUUGGCAGGGUCUGAUUCUUGCAAGGCAUGAAUUGAAGCCAUGGGUACCACAUAGAUAUUGUGUCAUGCACCUUUGGAGGAACUUUAACAAGCAAUGGAUAAAUAAGGUGUUGAGAGGGGUGGUCUCGAAGUGUGCUAAGGCAACAACUCUUACUCAGUUUAAUCACAUUAUGGGGAACGUGAAGAGAUUGAAUGAGAAGACUUGGAAGUACCUCAAUAAAUUGCAAAAGGAAUUAUAAACAAAAACACAUUUCCUAUAAAAUUGCAAGGAAGAUAACAUAGGGAACAAUACUUGCGAGGCUUUCCAUGUAAAGAUUUUGAAUUAUAGAGGGAAAUCAAUGCUAAAUAGAGUUGUCAAAACGGGUCGGGCUGUAAAAGCCCGAAAAAUGCCGGGCUUGAACAUAAAAAAUUAGGCUCGUUUAAAAUUGGGCCUUUUAGCCCGAGCCCGUGGCGGGCUAGCCCGACCGAGCUCCGGGUAGCCCGCAUUAAUAUAAUAUUUAAUAAAAUUUAUUACUUUUAAUUUUGUAGUAUUAAUUCACCUUCAUUUUUUUUGACAAAAAUUCACCUUCAUUUUGUUUAGUUUGUUUCCUGCUCUUUCAAUUUCGUUCAUAAAGCACAUUAGAAUUUAGUCCCGGGUUGCAACAAGGUUAUUAGAAAAGCAUUAGUCCUUGAUAUUUUUAGCACAAGCUGCAUUAUUUUACUUGAUUUUUAGCAACAUUAAUCAUUUUGAAAGUUUAGAAGAGUAUAUAGUCCACUAAAAGUUAUAAAGCAACAUUAUAAAGUACUCGAGACUUUUUUUAAAAAAAAUGUUAUUGUUUUAACUAAAAAAAAAUAAAAGUUCUCAUUAAUCGGGUCGGCCCGAUAAGCCCGUUGCCCGCAAAGGGCCGAGCUCAAACAUUAAUUUAGGAGCACGUUUAUCAUUUGGGCCUUUUUAGCCCGGCUCGAAAAUGCCUGUACCCGACAUGGACCAGCCCGACGCGGUCGGGUAGCCCGAAUUGCCAGCUCUAAUGCUAAAUAUGGUUGAGGAUGUCAGAGGAUAUGUGAUGAGAACAAUGAGUAAUAACAAAUUGAAGCAUGAAGGGAGAAUUGGGCCACUAUGUCCUUCACAUCAAAGUAGGUUAAAGAAAGAUAAGAUUUCCAUAAAAAAAAAAAAAAAAAAAAAGUUGACACCGCAUUAGAGUGGUUAUACUCUAAGGCAAUGGUAUCAAAUUAAAGACAAUCACAAAAUUAUAGUGGAUGUUGAUUUGUUUAUCAUACUUGCACCCGUAGAUUUCGACAGAUAAAUUUUGGUUUAGAUAAUACUUAUAAUGAUCUUUGUAUGUGCAACAAUACUUGUCAAUGCAAAGAUUUUGAAUUAUAGAGGCAAAUUAUGGCUAUUAUGUGAUGGUCGGAUUAUACAAGUGUACCAAAUCGUUUACUAAAUAAUACAGUGUAAGUAGGGUAUCAUAUUCAUAGGGAUUGUCGUUUCGAUCAAACAAUUUGCGUUAAUUAUUUGGUUUAACAAAAUAUAAAUAAAAGAGUUGAAGGAUAAGAAGUUGCAAUUUUUAUAUGUUUGCAACAGAGCAAGUUACCUGUUUUGGUUGCAGAAAUGUAAGCAACGAUUAAGAUUCUUUCAAUCCCCCCUAUUCAUUUGUUGGAAUUAAAUAACAUUCAUUUCGUGUUUAGUUAUCUUAAGUAUACUACCUAAGUGAUGAGUCCAUUCCGACGUUCUAACCUAAUCAGUUCGUCAAGUUGCACAUGUUGAUAGCACGGUGAUCCUUACAUGCGGGACCUUACUCUCUCAGUUUAUUUCAGUCUAUCCUUCCAAUGUUGAGUUGCACGUGCUAGUCCACACUAAGGUUAUACGCGCACUACAGUAUAGGGUUAUAAAUCUUGUAGGAUCCUCCACCUUCAUAAGGAUUAUUAGUGUGGUGUUCUUACUCCCUAAAGGUAAUUGAAACAUAGACUUAAAUUGGCAUUCCUAAAGUUACAAAGGUAUGAUGGACAACCGUUCUUAAAGGGUUUUCUCAUCUAUGAAUCUUAGGAGUUUCAUAACACACUCUCCUUCUCGGUAAUUCUACAGACGGGAAGCCAUAUCAGCGUCUACCUUGCCAAGGGUCGAGGAGAAUGGUUCUAUUAGGUUUGAUUCACUCCCCAAAGUCACCUGUUUCGUUAAUUAAUAACUAGUUACAUCAUAGGUUCGGUAGAUUUUACUUAAUACUAGUAAUGUCACCUCUUAAGUACUUACUAUUAAGGUCAACCUUCUUUCGGUAUCUUUGGCUAGUUACUAACUAAUUACUUCCUAGAUAGACAGAUAUAAAUAUCAAGAUAUAAGCAUCAAUAUUAGGUCAUGUCACUACCUAAGUGCCUAAACUAGGGUUGCAUUACAAAAGAAAUAAAUCUAACCUAAUAAAAUUAAAUAGCGAAAAGAAAAUAACCAAAUAAACGACAUUAAAUUAAAUACUUUUCCAACAAAAUAAAUUGAGGUUCAUCUUAGAACCCCAGCCUAAAAAUAUUUAGUUACUCAUGGUAACUAAACGACUAAUUACAAUAGAAAUAAAAAUUACCCUAAAAACUUGGAGAGGGGAGAGAAACUUCUCCUCAAAGCUCCUAGAGUCUUCCUUUCCCUUGAACUGCUCCUGUUCUGAACGGGAAAUUAUGAAUGAGGAAGACGGUACUUCUAGGUAAAGUUUUCACCUGAACUUGGGCUAAAAAUGUGGGCUUAAAGGGUAAAAAUGUUACAAAAUUGUGACUUUUUCAGCAAGUUGCCAUGCUCGGGAGGCCCAGGCCAUGCUCGGGGCGCAUGUGCCUUGCAACUAAACCUCCUCCACGUGCCCCAAGCACCAGUUCAUGUGCCUGGAGCAUGUGCCUUGCAGCUUCAUGCUCCAGGCACCUACAUCCAUCCCUUGAGAGCAUGUGCCUGUGUUCUAGGUGCCAAAAUGCAUGUUUCUUCGCCUUUUUAGGUGUUUGCUUCUAUGUAAGUUGUCUUGGAACUUGAGAACAUAAUUCCUCCUUUUGUAAAUUCUUAUGAGGCCUCUUGAAUCUUCAUUCUUCAUCUUCCCAAGGACCACAUAAAUCUUCGGAUGUCUUUGUUUUGUCGAUUUGCAGGAUUUCUUCGUGAAUUACAUCAAAAGCACCUUAAAACUGCUAUGUUUUGGGAAGAACAGGAUUACAAACUCAAAUAUAGAAAACAUUACAAAUGUCCCGAAAUCAUAGGAAAUUACUCUAAUACUCCUCUGUUUUGCUGGUAAAACCUACUGAAAAUGACUGAAAAACAUGUUAAGAAUAACGUAAGAUGACAUGUCAUCACUGUUGUUUAAAUAAGUUAUACGAUAUAUGAUGAGAACAUUGAUUAGAAAAAAGUUGAAUCCCAACGAGAGAAUUGGGCCACUAUGUCCUUGGAAGCAAAGUAGGAUAGAGAAAGAGAAGACUGCCAUCAACAAGUGGACACCACAUUGGAGUGGUGAUACUCCAAGGAGGAGUAUCAGAUUGAGGACAAUCACAUAAUCAAAGUGGAUGUUGAUUUGUCUAAUCAUACUUGCACUUGCAGAUUUUGACAGUUAACAAGUAAAUUUUAGUUUAGAUAAUACUUUUAAUGAUCAUUGUAUGUGCAACAAUACAUGUUAAUGAUCUUUGUAUUUACAACAAUACCUACAACUGCCAAUACUUAUUAGUUUAGAAAUUUUGGGAUUUUAUUAGUUUAGAAAUUAACUGAAAUACUUAAUUGAAUGAACAUGAAUGCCAUGCAUGCACUCAUGUGCAACACUUGGAAUGAGACGUUUACAACAAGAAGAAUAAUGCCAUGUCUGGUUGACCGUAUCUCAUACUGUGCCACUUUAAACUAUUUCAUUCAUCUAGUUAAUUCCCAAUAUUAUUGGGAACCAACUUCUUAUGUCGAACAUGUGCCACCAAAUGCUAGAAUGGCUGCAGGUAGACCAAAAAAACAUGAGAAAGGAUGGCAUUGGGGAAAAUGUUAGUGGAACUAACAUGAAGAAGACUUAUAAUGACACUUCAGGAUUAUAGGUGUGGAGUGCUUGGUCACAACACAAGAGGUUGCAUGAAGCAAGUUGUUUCCAGAAGACCAAAGAAUUUGGUUUCAUAUAAUCCUGAACAAUCAGCUGAGGAAAAUGAUGGAAAUGAUGAAAAUAUUGCAGUAGAGGGGAAUGAUAAUGAGGUUCAAGACUUCAUGUUGUUGAAAAUGUUGCAAUAAAGAUAAAUGAUAACGAGGUGCAAGAACAAGAUGUUGAAAGCAAUGUUGUUGCUGAUGAAAUGGUGCAAAAACAUAUAUACAUUAUGUAUUAUUUAUUUAUUCAUGAUGAUUAUGUUAUAAAUCUCUAUAUUAAUGCAUUAUAAAAUUAUUUAUUGUGAACUAUUAUGACUGGAAACACUAUUCAACAAAAUCAUGCACAUGAUGAACCACUUGUCCAUCAUGUAAGAUCUUAUUUUGGAUUACUCUGAUAAUUAUUAUAAACAACACGAAUCAAUUUGAUAGUAAGUGUAAAAAUUAGGGGACUGGAUUGAUUGAUACUCAAAAUUGUAUGAUAAGGAUUGCCUACAAGGAUGUAUCACAUGAUAGGAUCAAUUAUUUCAACUAAGAGGUUUAAGCAAACAUUGGUGAGAGGUUCUGCUCCAGCACAAAAAACAACAUCUAAAAUUAUAAGAGUAUCAUGUCUUGGUUAUGGAGGAUCUAGUUCUACUUAACCACAAUUCAUGGAGUUUAUCCCAACAACAGGAUUUUCAGAGAGCCAUUGAUCAUGUUUAUGAUUUUGUUGCUUUUAGAUAUGUAAUAUUAAGGAACUUGUUUGUGAUGGCUUAUUUAUGCCCCUAGUUGAGUUUAUUUUAACAAACCUUAAAUGGCGUAUGUGUAGAAAUGUCUUCCUAGGUUUUUUAGAGUAAUGGCAUACAACACAUCAACAAUCAAACAUUAUUACCUCACCAUUACACAUGAAGUUUGAAGUUAAAGCUCGACUUUGAGAGUUGUUUUUGACCAUGUGGCCACCAUCCAUUAUUUCAUAUUCACUUUGAUCGAACAAGCUUUUUGGAAGAAAUUUUGGGGAUUUCAUAUUGUUAAUGGGGAUAGAAAAAUUAGGUUUUAAAAUAUAUAGAAUUGGGAAAGAAAGACUCGCUGUACAAAAGUUAGGAAGAAGAAUUUUUUUUAACUUUUAGUCAUUUUCGUCCCUAAACUAUUUCUUUCUUUCGAUCAUUUUCGCCCCUAAAAGCCUGACAUCUGAGUGACAAUCCAAAUCAGCAAUUAAUGUCACACGUCAUCACCGUUAACGACCCAACUUGACGAAGGGAUAAAAUUGAUUGAAAAUUAUAAAAUUCAAAGAUGUUUUAACGAUUUCAAAUUUAAAGACGACAGAAAAUGCCUAUUCAUUAAUAAAAACGUAUCCCUUCUUUCAAAAAUAAAAAAUAAAAACGUAUCCCAAAUAGGGGUGGCAAUAGGAUCCAUCAAAUCCAUAUACAUCCAAUCCAUCCACCAUAAUAUCCAUCCAAUCCAUCUACCAAACAAAACAAAAAAUAGUUAAUGGAUUGGAUUUAAUCCAUCCAUUUAAAAUUACGGAUACAUCAAAUCCAUCCACCUUAUUUUAAAAAUCCAUUGGAUCAUCUAAAAUAUUAAUAAUAAUCCAUUGGAUAUAAAAUUAUUUUAAACAUGAUUUAAAUUAAUUUUGUUAAUAAAAAAAUAAGCUAAGUUUUUAAUUAUGGGGGCCUAAAAAGAAAUAUUCUGAUUUUUUACUGAAAUGAUUGGCCCAUAAGAUUCAGCCCAUUGAAUUAAAAAAAAAAAAAAACAGCCACCACCCGCCGCAGUGACCUUGUCAGAGCUCCGUCGUGGGUCACCGAAAAACCAGAUUUUCCGGUCAUAUCGCCGCUGUACUCCGCCUUAUAUGUAGCCGGAGCACCACCGGUCAAUGGUAGUGACCGUUGGUCAACGCCGGUGCACCACCACUUUUUAUUUAUUUAUUUUAUUUCAGUUUUGUCAAAAAAAAAAAAAAACUAUGAUUUUGGCUUAAUUAAAAAAAGCAUUCUGAAAGUUAUUACUUUCUGCACCAAUUAAUUAACAAAAUAAUUAUGUAAAACCAAUUAAUUAACUAAAAAAUUAUGUAAAACAAAUUUAAAAAAUAAAUAAUACAUUUUAUUAAAUGGAUUGGAUGGACAUAAAACCUAAUGGAUGGAUUGGAUGGUUUUUUUUUCAAAAAAAAAAUGGUAGAUUUUAAUGGACUAAUGGAUUUUUUUGAUCCAUCCAUUAGGAUUCAAAUCCAUAUCCAUCCUUUUUGCCACCCCUAAUCCCAAAGAGUCUACUUGGGUGGGCUGGACUAAAUUAAAAAAGUUAUUCAAUAUUUUUUUAUUUACACAUUUGAUAAACAUUUCUUAUUAGAAUAAUGAAGUCUAAUAUGGUACACAUAACCUUAUCAUAAGACCUGUAUAAAGGGUUGCUCAAUGGAUCUAAAGUAAUCAGUCUAGCUAAACACAAAGCACAAUAUGAGUUCUAAAAGUCAAGCAAUGAUCCUUUUGUUGAUUUUGACAAUAUUCUCCUUCACUUUCACACCAUCAUCAAGUGAUUCCAUUACCAUCUACUGGGGCCAAAACACAGCAGAAGGCACCUUGAAAGCAGCAUGUGACACUGGUCUUUACGAGAUUGUACUCCUAGGGUUCCUUGAUGUCUUUGGAGAAGGAAGAACUCCAAGUUUGAACUUCACUGGUCAUUGCCGUGGAAGUUCUUGCAUAACCCUCGAAUCCGAAAUCAACCACUGCCAAAAUAAUGUUAUUGAAGUUUACCUUUCCAUUGGAGGCCCUUCCGGAACCUACUCCCUUGGCUCAUCAGAUGAUGCUAAAAAUUUUGCUGAUUAUCUUUAUACUAACUUCCUUACACUUCCUAGUCAAAAAAAGAAAAAAAAUCAAGUUGGUCCACUUGGAGAUGUUACCUUAAAUGGUAUACAAUAACCCUUCAUGUCAAUAUGAUCAAACAAAUGUCGACGCUACACCGCUCUUACAAUCACUGGAUGCUUGGACGUCGUCAGUUCCACCAGAACUUAGUAUCGUUUUCUGGGGACUACCAGCAGCACCUGAUGCAGCUCCUGGUGGUGGUUAUAUACCACCAAAUGAUCUCAUUUCUAAGGUUCUUCCUCACAUUGAAGAAACUUGCUCUACCCAUAGCUGUGGAGGAUUUAUGCUUUGGGAU